GUUGGGCACGGUUGUGCGUGCCUGUAAUCCCAGCUACUCAGGAGACUGAGGCAGGAGAAUUGCUUGAGCCUAGGAGGCGGAGGUUGCAGUGAGCUGGGAUCAUGCCACUGCACUCUAGCCUGGGCGACAGAGUGAGACUCUGUCUCAA
rnacentral:SRP_RNA from 1 species